rnacentral:rRNA from 1 species
CGCGUAGGCGGCCAAUUAAGUCAAAUGUGAAAUCCCCGAGCUUAACUUGGGAAUUGCAUUCGAUACUGGUUGGCUAGAGUGUGGGAGAGGAUGGUAGAAUUCCAGGUGUAGCGGUGAAAUGCGUAGAGAUCUGGAGGAAUACCGAUGGCGAAGGCGACCACCUGGACUGAUACUGACACUGAGGUGCGAAAGCGUGGGGAGCAAACAGGAUUAGAUACCCCUGUA